UCAUUUUUAAGAACAUAUUUUGGUGGUGCUGUAUGUAGGAUUUAUUAACAAGCCAAACAUCAUUGUGUCGCCUUGUUUUUCUUGAUGUCAGUUUACAUUUUAACAGUGGUGUGAAACAACCUGACUGCACUGUACAACCUUAAUUUUCCACGUAUUAUGAAAUGAAAAGACGCUGUGUGGUUUACAGAAAGAGAGCAAACUCCACCAAGUUCUAUCAAAUAAUUAUUGACAGUAUAACGUUGGUUAUUCUGCAGUGUUGUUUGUGAAACCUUUUGGAUGUGAAUGAUCUUAUUUCUUGAAAAGCACCAUCUGUACUUGUCUGAUGCAACUUUCUGUGAUCCAUUUUACACUUUACAGGUCUGUACUUUCCAAGAAAGUUUAGUAAAACUAUAGUAACUUUGUAAUAGUUACAGGGUAAAUGGAGAGAAAGUUCUGAGACAGUUGUUUGAGUUUGGUUGGUUGUGUUGAGUUUAUAAGCAGGUCUUGAUUCCUAUGGAAAUUGAUUCAUUUAAACCCAAAUAAAUACAAUCAGUGGCCACUUUAUUAUUACCUUGCAAAGCAGCUGGAUUCUUGCGAGAUCAUGAGAUCACGCAGGAUCACAAGAUCUGUGUAACAAACCAUCUGGCCCGUCAGGUUAACUGUAUUUACACCUGUACAAUAUAAUGCAAACCAAUGCAAAGAGGUGUUAUGGUUUGAAUCUACACGUUUCUGGCAAUUACAACAAAAACGGAACCUUAUAAACUCUGUAAAGGAAGAAUUUCAUUGUACAGGUGUGCCCAAUAAAGGGGCCCCUGAGUGAAUUUAAUCUGUAUUUUAUGGAAACUCAAUUUUUGUUAAAUCGUACGUUUAUCUGUCAGCAAAGUUCGCUCAAUGGUGUUUUAAGCCCCCAAUGUCGACUUCAAGGCAGCGCUGCGACCGUUGACUUCAAGGCACUUAAACCUAACCCUAACCAUAACAUAACCAUUGCCUAAUCCUAGUGCCUUCCAGGCAGCGCUGCCUGGAAGGCGACGUUGGGGGCUUAAAACACUAAACACCACAAAGUUCCAAUUUUUUAAUGUGUAGCUAACCUGCUGAGCCCCUACUUCGAGUUAUGUUAACAUUUGAUUUUAAUCAAUCAAUUGGAGGAGUAUUGAACAACUGUCUCCAUUUUCUUUAUAAUAGUACUAGAUUACAAACCAGGAACUUUCUUAUAAAUGUACAGGCAUCUCUCAGUGUCUUUGUAGAAAAAAAGAGAGAACUAUAGGUCCCAUAAAAUAGUGUGACUGAAUUAUUCUGACUUUAACUCAUUAUGAAUUGUGUCAGUCGUUGAGUAGGUCUUACUGCCUUUUAACAAUGAGAUUAAAAGAGCUGAUGAUUUGAAUUGUGCCAAUUUACUGCUAUGUGCAUUAUGUAUGUCUUGUGUCAUUUGAGAAUAGUGUUGUUGGGUUAUUGUUCACUGAGGGAAGAAAAAAAACUGUGAAAAAGAGCCAGUAAUAAAGUGUAAUUUGUAACUGAG